rnacentral:rRNA from 1 species
GUGCCAGCCGCCGCGGUAAUACCGGCAGCCCGAGUGAUGGCCGAUCUUAUUGGGCCUAAAGCGUCCGUAGCUGGCCGAACAAGUCCGUCGGGAAAUCCACUCGCCCAACGAGUGGGCGUCCGACGGAAACUGCACAGCUUGGGACCGGAAGGCUCGAAGGGUACGUUCGGGGUAGGAGUGAAAUCCCGUAAUCCUGGACGGACCGCCGAUGGCGAAAGCACGUCGCGAGAACGGAUCCGACAGUGAGGGACGAAAGCCAGGGUCUCCAACCGGAUUAGAAACCCGGGUAGUCC